rnacentral:rRNA from 1 species
UACAGAGGUGGCAAGCGUUGUUCGGAAUUACUGGGCGUAAAGGGCGCGUAGGCGGCCUUCUAAGUCAGACGUGAAAUCCCCAGGCUUAACUUGGGAACUGCGUCUGAUACUGGGAGGCUUGAGUGCGGGAGAGGGAUGUGGAAUUCCAGGUGUAGCGGUGAAAUGCGUAGAUAUCUGGAGGAACACCGGUGGCGAAGGCGGCAUCCUGGACCGACACUGACGCUGAGGCGCGAAAGCUAGGGGAGCAAA